AUAAACCGCCGAGACAGUAUGUUCCAUGCAAAUGCACUCACAGAAACAGAAACAGGAAUUCAGUAGAAUGUGAGAGCGCUCAAAAUGUUUGUGGCUUCUCACUGUCAUCUCUCUUUCUGGCUUUCCUUCUCAGCGUUAACUCCGCCAGAAGAAACCCAUCAAAGUCUCUCUGUCUGUUUUGUCGAAGGACCACGAGGGUCCGUUGCUGCCCGGGUGCGGCGGCGGAUUCUCUACAGAGCUUCCCCACAACGCACUCAAAGAGCUCGAAGAACCAAGAUCUUCAACGUUUCAUUUUCUCUUUCUUUCAUAAUAAAUCGUUUAAACGUAUCUUGUUGAAGGUGUGGUCCUUGCUAGUGAAACUGUAGUUUUGAGUCCUGAGAUGAUCUUUUAUAGUUCAUCCUGCUCUGUAAAGGAUAGGUCUCCCAGAUUGAUUUCAGAUUAGAGCCUGGACCAAUAGCACAUUUCAGCAGCAUGGCGUAAUAUUUGGGUGCCUCAUAGCCAGUACCAAAUAUUUUAACUACAUUAGAGAGAACAUCAGAAUUUGGCGAGCCAAUGAAGUGGAGCCAAAUGUUUGAGUUAAGACAUGUCUAAUUUGAAGAUAUCUCCAAAACUGCUGCUGAUGGAGACCAAAUUGUUGCUUCAGUUCUGUGAAUGAUUUCAUUAUGUCUUUGUCAUAUAAAUUGCCCAGUACCAAAAUACCCCCAUCUACCCAGUGCUUCCAAAAAAAUGGUUUUAUUCUCUAUUUUUAAAGUGAAACUCUCGCCAAAAAGCAACCAAGGCUUUAUUUGGGCUUGAAUAUGAGUCAAACCUUCGUGUAAAAGCAUAAUUAUGACGAAAGAGGCACUUUUAAGAUUUACCGUAGUUUCGGUUUUGGGCACGUAAAUUUUGAACGGGAGAGCUAGGGGCAUGACACACUAGCUAUUUUUAGAACACUAAGAAGGCUCGACACAACAUGAAACUUUGCUCCUAGCAUCACCAGGGUUUCUACUCAUGAACAAGAGCAUUGAGAACAUUGUUUGUGCACACACAGUUUAUAAAAAAAAGAAGGUUUUUGAACUACUCACGUUAGCUUCUGCAUCUCCUGCGCAUCGCCGUCAUGGCAGGCAAAAAGUGUCGAUUCCCGAGUGCGACCUGACAGGCAGGAGAGUAAUGGUGAACCGCUCCUCAAACGUGCCUGUCAGGUCGCACUCAGGGAUCGACACUUUUUGUCUGGCAUGACGCCGAUGCGCAGGGGGUGCAGCAGCUAACGUGAGUAGUUCAAAAGCCUUCUUUUUCAUAAACUCUGUGUACACAAACAAUGUUCUCAAUGCUCGUGUUCAUGAGUAGAGACCCUGGUGAUGCUAGGAGCAAAGUUUCAUGUUGUGUCGAGCCUUCUUAGUGUUCUAAAAAUAGCGAUUUUGAUGCUAGUGUGUCAUGCCCCUAGCUCUCCCGUUCAAAAUGAACGUGCCCAAAACCGAAACUACGGUAAAUCUUAAAAGUGCCUCUUUCGUCGUAAUUAUGCUUUUACAUGAAGGUUUGACUCAUAAUCAAUCCAAAAUAAAACCUCGGUUGCUUUUUGGCGAGAGUUUCGCUUUAACUUAGGGUUAAGCCAGAUGCUUGCUGAUAAAUUCAGGUGGGGGCUAGAUUUAAGCUUAAUUGAAAUUAUUUUCCAGAUCAAUUGCAUGUUCGCAAGUAUAGGACGGUUCUGUGCUUCAGCAGACAGUACUGCUGUGAUAAAUUGGAGGGGAAGGUGUGCAUCACAGAGUGCGCUUUUAAUGCAGUACCAGGUUGGAGCUUGCUCAGGGGGCAAGCACCAGGUAUUUGAUGCCAUUGCUAGGCCAUGAGAAAUUGCCUCUCUGGUACAAUGACUUGGGACAGUGCAAAGUCAAGGGAAGAACCUCUGAUUUCGACCAAUUAACUUUGUAACCUAGAAAUUGUCUAUAAUUUUGAAUAGUGCAGGAAGUUAGUGCUCAGGCUCAGAGAUGAGAAGGAGGAUAUCGUCCACGUACAACAUACGUUUGUGGACUGACUGGCCCGGAAUUACCGGUUCCAAGCGAAUGGUUGUGGCCAGGGGUUCGAAGGCCAACGCAAAGAGGCCCAGGGGGAUACAAUCGCCUUGCCUGGUACCUCUGCUAAGCUCAAACCAGGGUGAAAUCAGGCUGUUAGUUAACACUGCCGCUCUAGGAUGAAUAUACAACAGCCGAAUCCAAGUGAUAAUUUUGUUGCUGAAACCAAAU
ensembl:lncRNA